UACGAAGGGUGCAAGCGUUACUCGGAAUUACUGGGCGUAAAGCGUGCGUAGGCGGUUUGUUAAGUCCGUUGUGAAAGCCCUGGGCUCAACCGGGGAACUGCGUCUGAUACUGGGUGGCUUGAAUCCGGGAGAGGGAUGCGGAAUUCCAGGUGUAGCGGUGAAAUGCGUAGAUAUCUGGAGGAACACCAAUUGCGAAGGCAGCUCGCUGGGACGUAACUGACGCUGAGACGCGAAAGCGUGGGGAGCAAACAGG
rnacentral:rRNA from 1 species